AUGAACGCUAGCUACAGGCUUAACACAUGCAAGUCGAGGGGCAUCAGGAAGAAAGCUUGCUUUCUUUGCUGGCGACCGGCGCACGGGUGAGUAACACGUAUCCAACCUGCCCUUUACUCGGGGAUAGCCUUUCGAAAGAAAGAUUAAUACCCGAUAGCAUAAUGAUUCCGCAUGGUUUCAUUAUUAAAGGAUUCCGGUAAAGGAUGGGGAUGCGUUCCAUUAGGUUGUUGGUGAGGUAACGGCUCACCAAGCCUUCGAUGGAUAGGGGUUCUGAGAGGAAGGUCCCCCACAUUGGAACUGAGACACGGUCCAAACUCCUACGGGAGGCAGCAGUGAGGAAUAUUGGUCAAUGGGCGUUAGCCUGAACCAGCCAAGUAGCGUGAAGGAUGAAGGCUCUAUGGGUCGUAAACUUCUUUUAUAUAAGAAUAAAGUGCAGUAUGUAUACUGUUUUGUAUGUAUUAUAUGAAUAAGGAUCGGCUAACUCCGUGCCAGCAGCCGCGGUAAUACGGAGGAUCCGAGCGUUAUCCGGAUUUAUUGGGUUUAAAGGGAGCGUAGGUGGACUGGUAAGUCAGUUGUGAAAGUUUGCGGCUCAACCGUAAAAUUGCAGUUGAUACUGUCAGUCUUGAGUACAGUAGAGGUGGGCGGAAUUCGUGGUGUAGCGGUGAAAUGCUUAGAUAUCACGAAGAACUCCGAUUGCGAAGGCAGCCUGCUGGACUGUAACUGACGCUGAUGCUCGAAAGUGUGGGUAUCAAACAGGAUUAGAUACCCUGGUAGUCCACACAGUAAACGAUGAAUACUCGCUGUUUGCGAUAUACAGUAAGCGGCCAAGCGAAAGCAUUAAGUAUUCCACCUGGGGAGUACGCCGGCAACGGUGAAACUCAAAGGAAUUGACGGGGGCCCGCACAAGCGGUGGAGCAUGUGGUUUAAUUCGAAGCAACGCGAAGAACCUUACCAGGUCUUGACAUCCUAUGACCACCUAAGAGAUUAGGCUUUCCCUUCGGGGACAUAGAGACAGGUGGUGCAUGGUUGUCGUCAGCUCGUGUCGUGAGAUGUUGGGUUAAGUCCCGCAACGAGCGCAACCCCUAUCUUUAGUAGCCAGCGGUCAGGCCGGGCACUCUAGAGAGACUGCCAGGGAUAACCUGGAGGAAGGUGGGGAUGACGUCAAAUCAGCACGGCCCUUACGUCCGGGGCUACACACGUGUUACAAUGGGGGGUACAGAAGGCAGCUACCUGGUGACAGGAUGCUAAUCCCAAAAACCUCUCUCAGUUCGGAUCGAAGUCUGCAACCCGACUUCGUGAAGCUGGAUUCGCUAGUAAUCGCGCAUCAGCCACGGCGCGGUGAAUACGUUCCCGGGCCUUGUACACACCGCCCGUCACACCAUGAGAGUUGGGGAUACCCGAAGCCUGUGAGCCAACAGUUAAAUGGGGCAGCAGUCGAAGGUAGAAUCAAUGAUUGGGGUG
rnacentral:rRNA from 1 species